rnacentral:misc_RNA from 1 species
AAGUCGUAACAAGGUUUCCGUAGGUGAACCUGCGGAAGGAUCAUUAGAAAUUUUUAUGUAUUCAAAAAUUUUUCAAUCUUUCUAUCCAAAAAUUUUUAUAAAUGUAUAAAUCAUGAGAAAACUUUCAACAACGGAUCUCUUGGCUCUU